GGAGAGGUGGCCGAGUAGGUUGAAGGCGGUCGCCUGCUAAGCGAUUGUACAGUCUAAAGCUGUACCCCGGGUUCGAAUCCCGGCCUCUCCGCCA
rnacentral:tRNA from 1 species